rnacentral:pre_miRNA from 1 species
CAACUACUCCCUCUGUCCCAAAUUUCUUGUCUUAGAUUUGUCUAGAUACGAAUGUAUCUAAUACUAAAAUGUGACUUGAUACAUCCGUAUCUAGAAAAAUCUAAGACAAGAAUUUUGGGACGGAGGGAGUACUUU